GGAAAACGGUAACGCUGCAGUUUAAAUUAUAGAAGUGUUAAAGUGUUUUUGACCUCGGAUGCGUGUAGAUCUAUCGUAGGAGACAAAAUUAGGCACGUUUCAAAUCCGUAAUAGGUGCGCUUUAAUUCUACACUGCUCAAUUGUGUUUAUUGGGAUGUUCAUCAGAAGACAGCGGAUUAGAUAAUCUUAUAAUCCGUUAACAGUAGAAUGAGUGACAGGAAGUACAAGAAUGACUUCAGUCGUCAUGUGAACAGCACUGACUAAUGUCAGACAAGAAAACACCACAUCAUCACAGCAGGACAGGAAGAACAGCUGUCACUCCAGUGUUUGAGCUUGAUGGUGAGGAACAACCCAACAGCGACCUCUAGAGGUGGCCCCUGUCUGCUUCCAUUACAGGAUGAACCGUACAGCGGCGGCGGCUGCGGCGGCGAUGCUUUC
ensembl:lncRNA